rnacentral:misc_RNA from 1 species
GAUGAAGAACGUAGCGAAAUGCGAUAAGUAAUGUGAAUUGCAGAAUCCAGUGAAUCAUCGAAUCUUUGAACGCACAUUGCGCCCGCCAGCAUUCUGGCGGGCAUCCCUGUUCGAGCGUCAUUUCAACCCUCGACCUCCCUUUGGGGAAGUCGGCGUUGGGGACCGGCAGCACACCGCCGGCCCUGAAAUGGAGUGGCGGCCCGUCCGCGGCGACCUCUGCGUAGUAAUCCAACUCGCACCGGAACCCCGACGCGGCCACGCCGUAAAACACCCAACUUCUGAACGUUGACCUCGAAUCAGGUAGGACUACCCGCUGAACUUAAGCAUAUCAAUAAGCGGAGGA